CCUUUGUGUACCUAUGUUAUAUAUUUUUAAAGAAUUAAGUGUUAUAAAUAGUAUUACUGCCAAUAUUUAAAAAUAAAAUAUGCAUAAGACAAACAUGAGAAAACAUAGAGGGAGAAACUUUUGGUUUGAUUAGUUUACAUAGUCAUGAGCAAUUUUUAUCUUGGAGAUCUGUCAUUUGAGCAUUUUUUCCCAAUAAUGUAACUUCUAAAUAAAUAUGAGAGAACAAGUACUAGGGAAGAUAAAUUAAUCCAGAAUGAGCAGAGGCCUGUAAAAUGUGAUAAAGAAAACACAAAGGAAUUUUUAAAGGUCUGCUCAGAGAAAAGAAAAAAAAAAAAGCCAAGGGUGAGGUCAGGGCUUGGGGGGAUUUUGAUGUAGUAACAUAACCAGGUGAAGGGGAGAAGGCAGACCCACUGAGCUUUUGUUUGGCUUCUGACUUCAGAAUAAUCUUCGCACUAAGAAGACACAUCACAAAAAUGGAACGAAAGCCAGUGCUGAAUGAACAAUCUGUACAAACAGGCCAGAGGAGUCAGCACAGUUUGUGAGAGGUCAGACAGCUGGAGCGGGGCCAGCGGGCCGAGGAUGAGGAGAUACACCACAGCUCCAUACACGGAGCGCCCAGCCAAGGGCCCUGAGCGAAGUACAAGCAAACUGUGGACCUUUCUGCAGAAAGCGCUGCUCCCUGGGAGCCUCCGGGGAGCCCGCAGGAAGCCUCAGCAAUUAGGAUUCAUUUUACACAUUCAGAGAUUCAGAGGACGGAACGUGUCGGGCAGAGUUCAGGUAUACCCUUAACUCUGUGGCCCUGACACAAGGUACCACAGAGCUGACCACCUGCUGGCCAUGUGUUCUGAGCCUCCUGAAGGCCCUGGAGGCAAGGUGAGUGACAGCUUCCUGUCCUGCAAAGUGUCUGGGUCAGAGGGUGGAACCAGAGCAAACAGAGCCAGCUGAUGGCUCGCCCGCCAUCUCUGCAAAGGAGGGAACGGGCUUUGAGUUUGCCAAGAGAGGGCUCACCCACUCCGAGGCUCCUGGAAGAACUGGGACAAACUGGUCACCUUUUUGUGGGACAGUUACACAAAUCCCACCGUGGGCUUUGAUGCUAUCCACACUUCACCCUGGGUAACUUGGCAGAUAGCUGGCUGGGCUCAUCGCUGUGACAAAAUACCAUCCACAAGAAGCAAUGCGCAGGAACCGCUGGAGCUCAGGGCUGUAAGAGGGGACUGCCGCAGGGUCACACCGGCUCGAAGUCUGGGGUGUUCUGGAGCUUGAUUCUUCUCAGGGCAGUAAGUGCGGUUGGG
rnacentral:lncRNA from 1 species